rnacentral:rRNA from 1 species
UACAGAGGGGCGAGCGUUGUUCGGAAUAUCUGGGCGUAAAGGGCGCGUAGGCGGCCCGCUAAGUCGAACGUGAAAUCCCCAGGCUCAACCUGGGAACUGCGUCCGAUACUGGCAGGCUUGAAUCCGGGAGAGGGGUGUGGAAUUCCUGGUGUAGCGGUGAAAUGCGCAGAUAUCAGGAGGAACACCGAUGGCGAAGGCAGCUCGCUGGGACGGUACUGACGCUGAGGCGCGAAAGCCAGGGGAGCGAACGGG